rnacentral:rRNA from 1 species
UACGUAGGGUGCGAGCGUUUAAUCGGAAUUACUGGGCGUAAAGCGUGCGCAGGCGGUUCGCUAAGACCGAUGUGAAAUCCCCGGGCUUAACCUGGGAACUGCAUUGGUGACUGGCGGGCUAGAGUAUGGCAGAGGGGGGUAGAAUUCCACGUGUAGCAGUGAAAUGCGUAGAGAUGUGGAGGAAUACCGAUGGCGAAGGCAGCCCCCCUGGGCCAAUACUGACGCUCAUGCACGAAAGCGUGGGGAGCAAACAGG